CGCCUGGGGAGUACGGGUGAGGUAACGGCUCACCAAGGCGACGACGGGUAACCGGCCUGAGAGGGUGACCGGUCACACUGGGACUGAGACACGGCCCAGACUCCUACGGGAGGCAGCAGUGGGGAAUAUUGCACAAUGGGCGCAAGCCUGAUGCAGCAACGCCGCGUGAGGGACGACGGCCUUCGGGUUGUAAACCUCUUUUAGCAGGGAAGAAGCGAAAGUGACGGUACCUGCAGAAAAAGCACCGGCUAACUACGUGCCAGCAGCCGCGGUAAUACGUAGGGUGCAAGCGUUGUCCGGAAUUAUUGGGCGUAAAGAGCUCGUAGGCGGUUUGUCGCGUCUGCUGUGAAAAUCCGAGGCUCAACCUCGGACCUGCAGUGGGUACGGGCAAACUAGAGUGCGGUAGGGGAGAUGGGAAUUCCUGGUGUAGCGGUGGAAUGCGCAGAUAUCAGGAGGAACACCAAUGGCGAAGGCACAUCUCUGGGCCGUAACUGACGCUGAGGAGCGAAAGCGUGGGGAGCGAACAGGAUUAGAUACCCUGGUAGUCCACGCCGUAAACGGUGGGUGCUAGCUGUGGGCCACAUUCCACGUGGUCCGUGACGAAGUUAACACAUUAAGCACCCCGCCUGGGGAGUACGG
rnacentral:rRNA from 1 species